rnacentral:rRNA from 1 species
GAUCAUGGCUCAGGAUGAACGCUAGCUACAGGCUUAACACAUGCAAGUCGAGGGGAAACGACAUCGAAAGCUUGCUUUGGUGGGCGUCGACCGGCGCACGGGUGAGUAACGCGUAUCCAACCUGCCCACCACUUGGGGAUAACCUUGCGAAAGUAAGACUAAUACCCAAUGAUAUCCCACGAAGGCAUCCGAAUGGGAUUAAAGAUUUAUCGGUGAUGGAUGGGGAGUGCGUCUGAUUAGCUUGUUGCGGGGUAACGGCCCACCAAGGCAACGAUCAGUAGGGGUUCUGAGAGGAAGGUCCCCCACAUUGGAACUGAGACACGGUCCAAACUCCUACGGGAGGCAGCAGUGAGGAAUAUUGGUCAAUGGGCGAGAGCCUGAACCAGCCAAGUAGCGUGCAGGAUGACGGCCCUAUGGGUUGUAAACUGCUUUUAUAAGGGAAUAAAGUGGGUCUCGUGAGACUUUUUGCAUGUACCUUAUGAAUAAGGACCGGCUAAUUCCGUG